rnacentral:rRNA from 1 species
UACGUAGGGGGCAAGCGUUGUCCGGAUUUAUUGGGCGUAAAGAGCUCGUAGGCGGUUUGGUAAGUCUGGUGUGAAAUCUCCACGCUCAACGUGGAGGGGCCACCCGAUACUGCCAUGACUGGAGUUCGGUAGAGGAGUGUGGAAUUCCCGGUGUAGCGGUGAAAUGCGCAGAUAUCGGGAGGAACACCCGUAGCGAAGGCGGCACUCUGGGCCGGAACUGACGCUGAGGAGCGAAAGCGUGGGGAGCAAACAGG